GAAGUGCAGAGCAAGGCUUAUGAAUCAGAAUGCCAGGAGCUGCGUGAGACGCUUGCAUCUAAGGAGAAGAAGAACAAGGAACUGGAAUCAGAAUGCCAGGAGCUGCGUGAGACGCUUGCAUCUAAGGAGAAGAAGAACAAGGAACUGGAAUCAG